rnacentral:rRNA from 1 species
ACUCAAAGGAAUUGACGGGGGCCCGCACAAGCGGUGGAGCAUGUGGUUUAAUUCGACGCAACGCGAAGAACCUUACCUGGGCUCGAACGGCAUUGGAUCAUCCUCAGAAACGAGGACUUCUCGCAAGAGACUGAUGUCGAGGUGCUGCAUGGCUGUCGUCAGCUCGUGUCGUGAGAUGUUGGGUUAAGUCCCGCAACGAGCGCAACCCUUGUCCUGUGUUGCCAUCAUUAAGUUGGGCACUCUCAGGAGACCGCCAGCGAUAAGUUGGAGGAAGGUGGGGAUGAUGUCAAGUCAUCAUGGCCUUUAUGUCCAGGGCUACACACGUGCUACAAUGGGCGGUACAACACGCUGCAAACCCGCGAGGGGGAGCUAAUCGUAAAAAACCGUCCUCAGUUCGGAUCGGAGGCUGCAACUCGCCUCCGUGAAGCUGGAAUCGCUAGUAAUGGCGCAUCAGAACGGCGCCGUGAAUACGUUCCCGGGCCUUGUACACACCGCCCGU